CUGAGCAGGGGUAGACAUCAUCCUGAACUGGAAAAAUUACAUAUCCUCCUACUCAGACUAUGGUCCAUUAGUGGGCCAAUCUUUUCCCUAUAACAAUGGAGCGCCAUCAUGACCAUACAGUUCCCAGUCUCCCCCAGAUUGGCAGCAUGAAAAUGAAGGCAAAAUGGUCAAUUUAUAUCUCCUUCAGGAAGAAGAAGAAGAAGUAGAAGAAGAGGAAGCAGCGGCAGCGAGCUGAAUCUUUUAUACUAUGGAUAAAUCUGAUGGUUACACCCAACACAUCUGGCUUGAACCUGGUGAAAAGUUCUGAGGGGCUCAGAAGCUCACUUUUUCAUGUCAUUUCUGUCACCCAUUUGUGAUAUUACACAACCGUGCCUAUG